rnacentral:rRNA from 1 species
AUUGAACGCUGGCGGCAUGCUUUACACAUGCAAGUCGAACGGCAGCGCGGGCUUCGGCCUGGCGGCGAGUGGCGAACGGGUGAGUAGUGCAUCGGAACGUGCCCAGUAGUGGGGGAUAGCCCGGCGAAAGCCGGAUUAAUACCGCAUACGACCUGAGGGUGAAAGCGGGGGACCGAAAGGCCUCGCGCUAUUGGAGCGGCCGAUGUCGGAUUAGCUAGUUGGUGGGGUAAAGGCUUAUCAAGGCGACGAUCCGUAGCUGGUCUGAGAGGACGACCAGCCACACUGGGACUGAGACACGGCCCAGACUCCUACGGGAGGCAGCAGUGGGGAAUUUUGGACAAUGGGGGCAACCCUGAUCCAGCCAUGCCGCGUGCGGGAAGAAGGCCUUCGGGUUGUAAACCGCUUUUGUUCGGGAAGAAAUCCUCUGGGCUAAUACCCCGGGGGGAUGACGGUACCGGAAGAAUAAGCACCGGCUAACUACGUG